UACGUAGGGCGCAAGCGUUGUCCGGAAUUAUUGGGCGUAAAGAGCUCGUAGGCGGUCUGUUGCGUCCGCUGUGAAAACUCGGGGCUUAACCCCGGGCCUGCAGUGGGUACGGGCAGACUAGAGUGCGGUAGGGGAGACUGGAAUUCCUGGUGUAGCGGUGAAAUGCGUAGAUAUCGAGAGGAACACCUGCGGCGAAGGCGGGUAGCUGGGCCGACACUGACGCUGAGGCGCGAAAGCCAGGGGAGCGAACGGG
rnacentral:rRNA from 1 species